ACCAGUUUAUCCUGCUGGCGGCUGCGGCUCUCUGACAUGCACUAAGACAUGCAAGUCUCUCGAAAGAGGGCGAACUGCGCAGUAACACGUAGAUAAUCUGCCCUCAGGUCAGGGAUAGCGUCGGGAAACUGACGGUAAUACCUGAUAGGGGAUUCUUUCUGGAAUGAGGAUUCCCUCAAAUUCGCGCCUGAGGAUGAGUCUGCGGCUGAUUAGGUUGUUGGCGGGGUAAUGGCCCACCAAGCCAGAGAUCAGUAAGGGCUCUUAGCGGAGAGGCCCUGCGAAGGACUCUGAGACACUAGUCCUAGCCCUAAGGGGUGCAGCAGUUAGGAAUUUUCUGCAAUGCGCGCAAGCGUGACAGAGCGAGUCAGAGUGUUCCUCAAUGAGGAACUUUUCUGUGCUGUAAAAAGGCAUAGGAAUAAGGACUGGGAGAGACUGGUGCCAGCCGCCGCGGUAAUCCCAGCAGUCCAAGUCGCAGCCACAAUUAUUGGGUCUAAAACACCCGUAGCUCGCUUCGUAAGUCUCUUGUGAAAUCCUGUCUCUUAAGGGCAGGGCGUGCAAGAGAUACUGCGAUGCUAGAGACCGGAAGACGCGAGAAGUACACUCAAGGAAGUGGUAAAAUAUGUUAAUCUUGGGUGGACUAACAAGAGCGAAGGCAUCUCGCGAAGACGGAUCUGACAGUGAGGGGUGAAGGCUAGGGGCGCAAAUUGGAUUAGAUACCCAAGUAGUCCUAGCAGUAAACACUGCACACUAAACAUCAGUACCUCCUCGAGAGGUAUUGGUGCUGUAGGGAAGCCGUAGAGUGUGCUACCUGGGAAGUAUAGCCGCAAGGCCGAAACUUAAAGGAAUUGGCGGGGGGGCACUACAACGGGUGACGCGUGCGGUGAAUUAUAUUGCCGCACAUUAAAAAUUUGGCUAUUUGCUGGAACAUCCGAGAAUCCUGAAGUACUCGUCGAGAAAUGAAAUAAAAAAUAAGAUCAUUAUCGGCAGUGAAAAUCUAUCAGGUGCGGACAAUCAGCAGGAAAGGCGAGAAUUUAUAAACCGUAAAAUCCAUAACAUAACUGAUAAAAAUGGGUUGGAAAGAUUUACCAUAUUGGCUUAAGGGCGGAAUUAUUGCUUUAAUUAUCUGGAUAAUAUUUUUCGUAUUGGCAGGUAUUGUCGAUUUUCAAAUAAAAGGCAUUAUACCGCCCAUAAUAAUAGGUGGUCUUUACAAUAAUUUGACUACAGUCGUAGCUUAUAUUGAAAAUGCAAUAAUUUAUCUUAUUAUAGGCGCAAUCGUUGGUUUAAUUUAUGGA
rnacentral:rRNA from 1 species